rnacentral:rRNA from 1 species
GACGAACGCUGGCGGCGUGGAUUAGGCAUGCAAGUCGAACGGUAUCAUCCUUUCGGGGGUGAGAGAGUGGCGAACUGGUGAGUAACACGUAGGUUAUCUACCCUCAAGACGGGGACAACCCAGGGAAACUUGGGCUAAUACCGGAUGUGAGCAACUUUUAGUUGUUUGAAAGGUGGCGUAAGCUGUCGCUUGGGGAUGAGCCUGCGUCCUAUUAGUUAGUUGGUGAGGUAACGGCUCACCUAGGCAAUGAUAGGUAGGCGGCCUUAACGGGUGGUCGCCCACACUGGGAUUGAGAUACGGCCCAGACUCCUACGGGAGGCAGCAGUCGAGAAUAGUCUACAAUGGUCGGAAGACUGAUAGUGCGACGCCGCGUGAACGAUGAAUCCCUUCGGGGUGUAAAGUUUCUUUUAUAUGUGAGCAGUGCUUCUUAUAUUAACAGUAUGGGGAGAGAGAUAUUAGCAUAUGAAUAAGCAACGGCUAACUCCGUGCCAGCAGCCGACGGU